AGUGAACGCUGGCGGUAGGCCUAACACAUGCAAGUCGAACGGCAGCACAGUAAGAGCUUGCUCUUACGGGUGGCGAGUGGCGGACGGGUGAGGAAUACAUCGGAAUCUACUUUUUCGUGGGGGAUAACGUAGGGAAACUUACGCUAAUACCACAUACGACCUACGGGUGAAAGCAGGGGAUCUUCGGACCUUGCGCGAUUGAAUGAGCCGAUGCCGGAUUAGCUAGUUGGCGGGGUAAAGGCCCACCAAGGCGACGAUCCGUAGCUGGUCUGAGAGGAUGAUCAGCCACACUGGAACUGAGACACGGUCCAGACUCCUACGGGAGGCAGCAGUGGGGAAUAUUGGACAAUGGGCGCAAGCCUGAUCCAGCCAUACCGCGUGGGUGAAGAAGGCCUUCGGGUUGUAAAGCCCUUUUGUUGGGAAAGAAAAGCAGCAGGUUAAUACCCCGCUGUUCUGACGGUACCCAAAGAAUAAGCACCGGCUAACUUCGUG
rnacentral:rRNA from 1 species